GAUGAAGAACGUAGCGAAAUGCGAUACGUAAUGUGAAUUGCAGAAUUCAGUGAAUCAUCGAAUCUUUGAACGCAUAUUGCGCUCUCUGGUAUUCCGGAGAGCUUGCUUGUUUGAGUAUCAGUAAACACCUCAACUUCCAUAUCUUUUUUGAAAUGGGAGUUGGACUUGAGUGAUCCCAACGCUUUUCCUCACCGAAAAGUGGCGGGUUACUUGAAAUGCAGGUGCAGCUGGACUUUUCUCUGAGCUAUAAGCAUAUCUAUUUAGUCUGCCUAAAAAACAGAUUAUUACCUUUGCUGCAGCUAACAUAAAGGAGAUUAGUUCUUGUGCUGACUGAUGCAGGAUUCACAAAGACGGCUUCGGCCGACUUUGUAAACUCGAUCUCAAAUCAAGUAAGACUACCCGCUGAACUUAAGCAUAUCAAUAAGCGGAGGA
rnacentral:misc_RNA from 1 species